UCAUUGGUUGGCCACUCGUACAAGUUCUGAGUCACCAUUGCCCCAGUACAUCUUGCAAGGAGGAUAGGUUAUGGGUUGAAGGUUUUAUGACUGGUUUGGUGUCCCAUUCCUACCACUGGAUGCCUUGCCUGAUUAAAGAAGAUGGCUGGUAUAGGCUCUGUAUUCUCCAUUACUAGAAGUCCUUGCUAGGGUCAGUCAUUUACAUAGGACCCUGGAAGUUUCUACUGUAGUAGGUUUCCACAUUGUUCCCCAAAUGCCCACCAAUUCCAGUUGUGUCUACCUGUUUUCUCUCCCUCCAUACCCCUAUCCCUCCUGUUCCCAUACCCACCCUCACUAAGUGUUCACCUGUAAAAUCUAUUCUAUUUCCCUUUCCCUGGGACAUCCAUGUGUUCCCCCCGUAAGACCUUCUUUGUUGCUUAGCCUCUUUGGGUCUGUGGAUUGUAGUGCAAGAUCCUUCUUAAAGGAUUAAUGAACUAUAUAAGCUUAUUAUACCUAUGUAAUUACGUAUAAAGUUAAUAAAUUACAUAAGCUUUCAUAUGUAUAAAGCAACUGUACUUGGCUUUAAUUCUUUUGCAUUUAUGAAUGCAUGUGUGUGGAUAUGGUCUAUGCCUAUGUGCACCUAUGUGUGGGUGUGAUUGCCUAUACAUGUGGAAGAUGUCUUCCUUAAAUAGUUUCUAUAUGAUGAUGAUGAUGACGACGACGAAGACGACUAACUGGCCAGUGACACCCCCCUGGGGGGGGAUCUGCCCAUCUUUACCCUCUAGCAGUGGCAUUCUAAGCACAAGCCACUACCAUGUCCUACUCCUUCAUGUGAGAUCUGGGGCUGGCACUUAUAUCCCCCUGCUUGCAUGGUAAACACUUGACCCUCUGAGUCAUUUCCUCAGCCUCCAUACCACAUUAUAAUGCUCCGUCUUCUAUGUUUCAUUUUGGGUCAUCUCUGUUGCUGUGCCUUCGAGUUCACUAAUCUUUUCUUUUGUAAUGUCUAAUCUGCUAAUCCCAGAAACUCCACUUCUCAUCACGCAUAUUUUGGUUUUAAUAACCACAAGCUCUAUUUGGUUCUGUUUUUCACUUUUCUUGUUUUUGCCUAACUUUUUUGAACAUAUGGAAUAUAGUUAUAAUAACCAGUUUAAUAUCCUUCUCUGCUAACUAUAACAUCUGUGGUUAGUUCUUAAUCAGAUCCAAUUGAUUGAUUUAUCUUCUCAUUAUGGAUAAUAUUUUCCUGUGUCUUUGUGUGUCUGGGAAAUUUUGAUUGGAUGCCAGAUAUUGUAAAUUAUACCUUGUAGGAUGCUGAGACUUUUUGUGUUCCUAUAAAUAUUGUUGAGCUUUGUUCCGGGCACAGUUAAGUUACUCGGAAUCAGCAUGGCUCUUGCUGGUCUUGCUUUUAAAAAUCGCUAGGCAGACUAGAGUGUUGUUAGUCACGGGGUAAUUAUUCCCCAGCAGAAGCGAUUCUUUUAUGAGUAUCCUACCCCGUGCACUGUGUAUUGUGAGGCUUCACCCCCAGCAUUCUUCCCUGACUGUUGGCUGGGCAUCACUACUUCUCCUUCUGGGUGGUUCUUUAUGCGGCACUUGCUUAUGGGGAUGUUCUGGUGUGUGUUCAGCUGAGCCCUCCAGGGACCUGGCACAUAGGCCUAGAGUUCUCUCUAGGCAGCUUUUCCUUCAAACACUCAGUUCUGUGAGAUCUCCCACCCUCAACUCGGUUCCUUCACUCUGGAACUCUGCUAGAGUGCUCCAUACUCUAUCUGAGUCCUCCUCCUGUGUUGUGCUCUGAAAACUCCCCUGGGGCAGUAAGGAAGGCAGCCAUGGGCCUGUUUUAUCUGUUUCUCCUGUCUCAGAGACCACUAGCAUCCUUCAUUAUCUGAGAAUCCAGGGUCUUGUUGGUUAAGAUGGAAGAAUAAACUGGUUCCUAUUUUUUAUUUUUUUUAAUCUUGAAGCAGCACUAGCUUCUCUGAAUUGACCUUCUCUUUAUGAGGUAUCGGUAGGGAGUGGGUUGUUUUUUGUUUUGUUUUUUCUUUUCUUCUUGAGGUUGAGUUUUACGUUGUAGUUCAGAAUGUCCUUGAACUCAUGAGUCUUCUGCUUCAGCUAGCAUAAUAGGGAGGUACCCUACACCUGCCUUUGUGUUUCUUUUGGUUUGGGAUGUGAUUUUACUAUGUUUGCAGGCUGGUCUAGAACACUUUUUUUUUUUUUAAAUAAUGAAGUUAUUAUUAUAUGUGUGCAUGUGCCAUGGCAUGUGUUUAGAGGUCAGAAGACCACCUUCAGGAGUCCAUUCUUUUCUUCCAUCAUGGGUUCUGGGAUUGAACUGGGGUCAGCAGGUUUGCAUGCUAGAUGCUUUCACCCACUGAGCCAUAUCUUCAACCCUGAUAAAGACGUCUUGAUCCUUUGGCCUCAAGAUUCUGAGUACAAGGAGUAUAGGUAUCUACAUGAACAUGUCUGGCUUACAUUUGACUUUUACAGAUCAGAAUAAAAAACAAUAUUUC
rnacentral:lncRNA from 1 species